GGGCAAGUAACUCAGCGGCUAGAGUACUGCGUUUACAUCGCAGGAGUCACAGGUUCGAAUCCUGUCUUGCCCA
rnacentral:tRNA from 1 species